CUAAGCUGUCUCUACUGUCUCGUGGAUUUUCUGCACUGCCUCCCAGCUCUUCCCCAGAUGCUUCGGGGAUUGCAGUCUCCCUCUGGUUCUCUCCUGAACCUUCUCCACAUUUUGCUGGACAAUGCUGACAAUUUUGUCCUGUCGCUCGAUGUCCAUUGCCACCUCCUCUUCAUUUAACUGCUCCUCAAAGGACCCAUCGACAUGUAAAAUGGAGAGAAGCGGGUUGUGAGCUGCUUUUUGGUGCGCAAACCAAACAUCACAGCGUCCAGGUAUCUAUCCCAUGUGUUGGGUUUUUCUCUUGUGAGCUUCCCCAGAGCUCUAGAUAGUUG
ensembl:lncRNA